rnacentral:rRNA from 1 species
UACGUAGGGGGCUAGCGUUGUUCGGAAUUACUGGGCGUAAAGCGCACGUAGGCGGUUUUGCAAGUUAGAGGUGAAAGCCCGGGGCUCAACUCCGGAAUUGCCUUUAAAACUGCAUCGCUAGAAUUGUGGAGAGGUAAGUGGAAUUCCGAGUGUAGAGGUGAAAUUCGUAGAUAUUCGGAAGAACACCAGUGGCGAAGGCGACUUACUGGACACAUAUUGACGCUGAGGUGCGAAAGCGUGGGGAGCAAACAGG